AUGGCGAAGCCGAAGAAGUCCCGGAACUCCGCCCCAGAUCCAUCGGUCGCCGCCCGGCUCCCAUGGCAACCCUCAGCGCCGCCGCUCGCCACUGCCCUCCUUAUCUCCUUCGCUGCCCUCCUUCUCCGCGCGCUUGUCUCCGUCGGACCCUACUCGGGUCAGGGCGCAGCACCCAAAUUCGGCGACUACGAGGCUCAGCGGCACUGGAUGGAGCUCACCCUCCACCUCCCCUCCUCCGACUGGUACCGCAACACCUCCGACAACGACCUCGCUUACUGGGGCCUCGACUACCCGCCCCUCUCCGCCUACCAGAGCCGGCUCCACGCCCGCCUCAUCAACGCCUCCCUCCCCGACGCCGUCGCCCUCCGAUCCUCUCGCGGGUUUGAGUCCCACGAAUCGAAGUUGCUUAUGCGGUGGACAGUACUCUCGUCUGAUCUCAUGGUGUUCUUCCCCGCGGCGCUAUGGUUCGUGUGGGCGUACAUCAAGGAUGGGGUUGGCGGUAGUGGGGAGAGGCGAGAGGGGUGGAUGUGGCUGCUCGCCAUGGUUCUUCUCAACCCGUGUUUAGUACUGAUCGACCACGGCCAUUUUCAGUAUAACUGCAUCAGUCUUGGGCUGACACUCGGGGCGAUUGCUGGUAUUCUGUCGAGGAACGAACUUGUUGCUGCUGCUCUCUUCAGUCUUGCAAUUAACCAUAAGCAGAUGAGCAUGUACUUUGCGCCAGCUUUUUUUGGGCAUCUUCUUGGAAAAUGCCUGAAGCGGAAGUGUCCAAUUGUUGAGAUCAUGAAACUUGGUUUUGUUGUACUGGGAACUUUUGCUCUUGUUUGGUGGCCUUAUUUGCAUUCUUAUGAGGCUGCCAUGCAGGUAAUCUCUCGAUUGGCUCCGUUUGAGAGGGGUUUAUAUGAGGAUUAUGUUGCAAAUUUCUGGUGUACCACCUCAGUUCUUAUCAAGUGGAAGCGAUUGUACGCAAUAAAGCCGCUGAAACUUAUGAGUCUUUCUGCUACCAUCCUGGCUUUCUUGCCUUCAUUUAUUCAGCAAGUCAAGUCACCAAGUAAUCUUGGCUUCCUCUAUUCUCUGUUGAACAGCUCGUUCUCUUUCUAUCUAUUCUCGUACCAAGUGCACGAGAAAUCAAUUUUGCUUCCUCUUUUACCCGCAAGCCUUUUAGCAUUACACGAACCUCACCUGCAUGGAUGGUUCACGUACUAUGCACUUUUUUCGAUGUACCCGCUUAUCUGCCGUGAUCAGCUUCUUCUACAAUAUAUAGCUGUUCUUGGAUUAUUCGUUCUUAUUUACUACUCACCUGGUGGAAACUAUGGAAAGGGGACGAACAUUUCGUCUGGAACAAUGGCAGUUCUGAGCCUGCCAUUGUUAUGCUCGAUCUUGCUUCACACUGUGUACCUGCAAAUAGAGCCUCCAAAGAGGUAUCCCUUCCUCUUUGAAGCACUGAUAAUGUUCAUCUGCUUCUCACAGUUUAUUAUUUUGACCCUGUACACAAAUUAUAAGCAAUGGAUGUUGGACUUCCACCCUAGACCUGUAGGUAGCAAGAAGGACCUAUGA
rnacentral:rRNA from 1 species